rnacentral:snoRNA from 1 species
AAGACUAUACUUUCAGGGAUCAUUUCUACAGUUUGUUACUAGAGAAGUUUCUCUGAAUGUGUAGAGUACCUGAAACCACGAGGAGGGGGAACAGUGUCCCUUGGUGAGCAAGAAGCUGACUCUGGGUGUUCUUUUUGCAACUGUGCUUUGUCAUUGAUGAUUGUUCUUGUCCUUCAGAGAAGCUAGAGGGAAGGGAUGCCAUCUGAGU